rnacentral:rRNA from 1 species
AUGGAGGCCCCCAAUCGUGUCCCUCCCAGGCGCCUCUCUUUCCAGCCCGCCAACGAAGACCACUUCAGGCUACUCAACUGCCGCCAUGGCCUCGUUCUCAUCUACAACCGGACACGGCGCCGGCUCCUUGUGUGGGACCCCAUCACCGGCGACCAGCACCACGUAGCCAUCCCCGUGGUGUUCCAUAACUUCCUUUUGAAGACGACCGAGGUCAGCGGGGCGGUGCUUCGUGCUGGGAAAGACGUCCAACACUUCAAGGUGGUUUGUGUGGCAACAUGCUACGACGACGUACAAGCAGCUCUAGCCUACGUUUACUACUCAGAGACCAGCUCAUGGGGUGAGCUCAUCUCAACACCGAUUCCACGGUUGACCAUAUUUGACACCAGAAUUUCUUGGGAUCAGCCUGCUGUGCUGGUUGGGGAUGCCCUUUACUGGUUGCUUACCGGGGGUUCAGAGGGAAUUCUUGAAUUUGAUUUUGAGAAAAACAGCUUAGCUGUGAUACAGUAUCCUGUGGAUGUGUAUCGGGAUCAGUUGACAGUUAUAAGGACAUAUAGUGGCGCCCUGGGUUUCCUCCACGUAUCGAACUUCACCGCGCGGUUAUGGGAGAGGAAGCCCGAUUACGAUGGUGUUCCUUCAUGGGAGCUUGGAAGAACCAUUGAACUGGACAAACUACUUUCCCUGCAUCCAAUGAAAUUGUACCCAAUAAUACGAGGCUUUGCCGAGGACAACAAUGUGGUGUUCCUGGGGACGGCAAUGGGCGACAUCUUUUCGGUCCAGCUUCAGUCAUUACAGUUCAAUAAUCUACCCCAAACCGAUGUCAGAUCAUACGUCCAUCCAUUUGAAAGUGUUUAUACCGGAGAUAUUGGCGGUGAACGUGAUAGAGCUAAACUUUUUUAG